AUUGAACGCUGGCGGCAGGCCUAACACAUGCAAGUCGAGCGGAUGAAGGGAGCUUGCUCCUGGAUUCAGCGGCGGACGGGUGAGUAAUGCCUAGGAAUCUGCCUGGUAGUGGGGGAUAACGUCCGGAAACGGGCGCUAAUACCGCAUACGUCCUGAGGGAGAAAGUGGGGGAUCUUCGGACCUCACGCUAUCAGAUGAGCCUAGGUCGGAUUAGCUAGUUGGUGGGGUAAAGGCCUACCAAGGCGACGAUCCGUAACUGGUCUGAGAGGAUGAUCAGUCACACUGGAACUGAGACACGGUCAAGACGCCUAAGGGAGGCAGCAGUGGGGAAUAUUGGACAAUGGGCGAAAGCCUGAUCCAGCCAUGCCGCGUGUGUGAAGAAGGUCUUCGGAUUGUAAAGCACUUUAAGUUGGGAGGAAGGGCAGUAAGUUAAUACCUUGCUGUUUUGACGUUACCAACAGAAUAAGCACCGGCUAACUUCGUG
rnacentral:rRNA from 1 species